ACGGGUGAGUAACGCGUGGGAAUCUACCGUACCCUACGGAAUAGCUCCGGGAAACUGGAAUUAAUACCGUAUACGCCCUUCGGGGGAAAGAUUUAUCGGGGUAUGAUGAGCCCGCGUUGGAUUAGCUAGUUGGUGGGGUAAAGGCCUACCAAGGCGACGAUCCAUAGCUGGUCUGAGAGGAUGAUCAGCCACAUUGGGACUGAGACACGGCCCAAACUCCUACGGGAGGCAGCAGUGGGGAAUAUUGGACAAUGGGCGCAAGCCUGAUCCAGCCAUGCCGCGUGAGUGAUGAAGGCCCUAGGGUUGUAAAGCUCUUUCACCGGUGAAGAUAAUGACGGUAACCGGAGAAGAAGCCCCGGCUAACUUCGUGCCAGCAGCCGCGGUAAUACGAAGGGGGCUAGCGUUGUUCGGAAUUACUGGGCGUAAAGCGCACGUAGGCGGAUAUUUAAGUCAGGGGUGAAAUCCCAGAGCUCAACUCUGGAACUGCCUUUGAUACUGGGUAUCUCGAGUAUGGAAGAGGUGAGUGGAAUUCCGAGUGUAGAGGUGAAAUUCGUAGA
rnacentral:rRNA from 3 species